rnacentral:rRNA from 1 species
AUUGAACGCUGGCGGCAUGCCUUACACAUGCAAGUCGAACGAAGCACUUUAUUCGAUUCUCUUCGGAGAUGAAGAUUUAGUGACUGAGUGGCGGACGGGUGAGUAACGCGUGGAUAACCUGCCUCACACUGGGGGAUAACAGUUAGAAAUGACUGCUAAUACCGCAUAAGCGCACAGUACCGCAUGGUACGGUGUGAAAAACUCCGGUGGUGUGAGAUGGAUCCGCGUUUGAUUAGCCAGUUGGCGGGGUAACGGCACACCAAAGCGACGAUCAAUAGCCGACCUGAGAGGGUGACCGGCCACAUUGGGACUGAGACACGGCCCAAACUCCUACGGGAGGCAGCAGUGGGGAAUAUUGCGCAAUGGGGGAAACCCUGACGCAGCGACGCCGCGUGAGCGAUGAAGUAUUUCGGUAUGUAAAGCUCUAUCAGCAGGGAAGAAUAAAUGACGGUACCUGACUAAGAAGCCCCGGCUAACUACGUGCCAGCCGCCGCGGUAA